rnacentral:lncRNA from 1 species
AUAAGGAAAUUGAGGCCAAAGGAAAUAAAAUUACUGGCUUACAGUCACGUGGUGAUGAAUGGAAAAGCUUGGAUUUGAACUAUCAACCGAAGACUUGAAAUUCAAAAAAAACUCUCUUUGAAUGAGUCAAUCCGGAAAUUCCUUGAAGAGGAUGUUGUCAACAUGAAUGAUGAUGCAGCAAAGAAGAUUGAGGGGAAGUAAUAGAGACAUUUAUGGGCAAUCUAAAUUGUGUAGCAGAUUUGGGCACUCAAGCUGUGACUUGACUUACUUGAAUCUGCUCUAUGAUUUGCAAAAUGGGAGCUGAGGAAGUAUCAAAAGAUGUUACAAAGAUAGAAGUACCUCUAUUCCUGGAUUUCCCAAAUUGUGUGCUCUACCAGCAUUCCUGUGAUCUUGUCAUCGAACAAAAGGAUUUAAGGGGAGCAAUUCGAACUAGACAAAGAUUUGAAGGAGGAAGAAAGAAAGGAUUCCUGAUUCAUAUGACAGUCCCUCUGUACAUUAUCAUUGAAGCCCUUACUGCUCUUCUGUCUUCAAGCCAAUACCCAGUAUUGAUUCUAAGAUGGAAGAUACUGCACGAAGUAUUGAAGAUUCUGAGACCAAAAGAAAAAACAGUCACCUUCCCGCAGGGAAAUUUCAUUCUACUGGAGGAAACAGUAUGACCAUAUAGAAAUAAAUAAAGCAAGAGAGAUGAGAAGCAGCACUUCAAGGAUUCAGUCCUUUUUGUUGUUGAUAUGAUGUGUAGCAAAAUGGUUUGGUGAAUAUAAUGUUGGACAUGAAGCCAGGAACCCCAAGUUCAGAUAUCACCACAAAAUCCUGCUAGCUCUGUGCUGGGUAAGUCAUUUUCCCUCUGCUUGCCCCAGUUUACUUCAUCUAAUAAUAGCACCCACCUCCAAGGACUAUUGUGAGGAUAAAGCUACAUCUUAUUUGUAAAGCCCUAUCUAAACCUUAAAGUACUAUAUAAACGACAUUCUUAUUAUCUUUGCUCUAAUUGUUGUUACCCUCUCCUUUCUGAUUCACACUAUUCUCAAUU